AUGUUUGCUUUUACAUCCUAAACAUGUUCUGUUCCAGCUGAUUGCAUGUCGGUUCAUUGAUCCAACAUGGAAUCAGCUCAGGAGCCAGUGUGGUCGGUGGUUGUUGGUGAUUAAAGACAGAUGUCUGGCAUGCUGUGAGCGUGCGUGGAGAAUGGAAACACAACGGAGAGAUGAAGAGUGACUCUGAGGUCAUAGCUGAUUGAAAGUAUCAUUGUUGUAUUUGGUAAUUACUCACUUGGAAAAUAUUGUUUCUGCCUCUGCAGCAGCCUUUUUGUCUCUGCAGCUGCUUAUUGGAAACAUUCCAUCUUUGUAUUGAUCAGUGAGAGGCUGAGCUGGGGCAACCAGGAGCCGAUACGGCCCAUCUCCUCCUCAGCGCUCGGAGCCGCUCCAAGCACCAGAAUCCAACACCUGGCCAGACACAAAAGAGACUUCUCAGCAAGGGAGGACCCCCGGAGGAAGGAGGAGGAGGAGGAGGAGGAGGAAGUGAACUUCUUCAGGAAGACCCAGCGUCCUUCCUCAAAGGCAUCCCAGUACGACAACAGUGUGCGGCUGUCAACACCCAAAACCAGGGGCCGUGGCUCCCAGGACGCAGGGCCUCCUCACACCACUCAGUGUGAGACUAGCUGUCCGGUUUGGCACCUGGAUCCCAGGCUGAAAACUGCAGUGAUCACCCCCCGACUGCUGCAGCUCUGCAACCCCAAGCUCACCCACCCCGACUUCCAUCCUGAC
rnacentral:lncRNA from 1 species